UUCGAACGGUAACAGGAAAGAAGCUUGCUUGCUUUGCUGACGAGUGGCGGACGGGUGAGUAAUGUCUGGGAAACUGCCUGAUGGAGGGGGAUAACUACUGGAAACGGUAGCUAAUACCGCAUAACGUCGCAAGACCAAAGAGGGGGACCUUCGGGCCUCUUGCCAUCGGAUGUGCCCAGAUGGGAUUAGCUUGUAGGUGGGGUAACGGCUCACCUAGGCGACGAUCCCUAGCUGGUCUGAGAGGAUGACCAGCCACACUGGAACUGAGACACGGUCCAGACUCCUACGGGAGGCAGCAGUGGGGAAUAUUGCACAAUGGGCGCAAGCCUGAUGCAGCCAUGCCGCGUGUAUGAAGAAGGCCUUCGGGUUGUAAAGUACUUUCAGCGGGGAGGAAGGGAGUAAAGUUAAUACCUUUGCUCAUUGACGUUACCCGCAGAAGAAGCACCGGCUAACUCCGUGCCAGCAGCCGCGGUAAUACGGAGGGUGCAAGCGUUAAUCGGAAUUACUGGGCGUAAAGCGCACGCAGGCGGUUUGUUAACUCAGAUGUGAAAUCCCCGGGCU
rnacentral:rRNA from 1 species